GGGGAUUUGGUUCAGUGGUAGAGCGCUUGCCUAGGAAGCGCAAGGUCCUGGGUUCGAUUCCCCAGCCCCCC
rfam:Rattus norvegicus chromosome 13, whole genome shotgun sequence.